UAGCUUAAAACAAUACAAAUUUAUUCUCUUAUAGUUCUUGCGGUCAGAAGUCAAAAAUGAGGGCCAGCCCGGUGGUGCAGCAGUUAAGUUCACAUGUUCCGCAUCGGAGGCCAGGGUUCGCUGGGUCGGAUCCUGGGUGUGGACAUGGCACCGCUUGUCAAGCCAUGCUGUGGUAGGCAUCCCACAUCUUGGGGGCCAGCCCCGUGGCCGAGUGGUUAAGUUCACGUGCUCCACUUUGGUGGCCCAGGGUUUCACCGGUUUGGAUCCUGGGUGCGGACAUGGCACCACUCAUCAGGCCAUGCUGAGGCGGUGUCCCACAUGCCACAGCUAGAAGGACCCACAACUAAAAAUAUACAACUAUGUACCUGGGGGCUUUGGGGAGAAAAAGGAAAAAAUAAAAUCUUUAAAAAAAAUAUUUACCUUUAUUUGGUGCUUAUCAAAUACUAAUCACUUUACAUUCAUCCAUUAAUCUAUUUGACAAAUAUGUACUGAGAACCUACUAUGUGUCAAGCUCUGUUUGAGGGGCUAGAGGUACAGAGGUGGACAAAACACCUUAUAGGAGGAGAAAAAAAUAACCAAAACAAAUAAGUGAAAUACAUGAUAGAUGGUGAUCAGUGAAAAUGAAAGCAGAAGAGAGAAAUAUGGAGUGUG
rnacentral:lncRNA from 1 species